rnacentral:rRNA from 1 species
AAAACUUUCAACAACGGAUCUCUUGGCUCUGGCAUCGAUGAAGAACGCAGCGAAAUGCGAUAAGUAAUGUGAAUUGCAGACUUCAGUGAACCAUCGAAUCUUUGAACGCACAUUGCGCCCCUCGGGAUUCCGGGGGGCAUGCCUGUCCGAGCGUCAUGAU